GACGGAGGAUGCAAGUGUUAUCCGGAAUCACUGGGCGUAAAGCGUCUGUAGGUGGUCAAAUAAGUCAACUGUUAAAUCUUGAGGCUCAACCUCAAAACCGCAGUCGAAACUAUUAGACUAGAGUAUAGUAGGGGUAAAGGGAAUUUCCAGUGGAGCGGUGAAAUGCGUAGAUAUUGGGAGGAACACCGGUGGCGAAGGCGGCCCCCUGGACCGGUACUGACGCUGAGGCGCGAAAGCGUGGGUAGCAAACGGG
rnacentral:rRNA from 1 species